GGGUCGAUGCCCGAGUGGUUAAUGGGGGCGGAUUGUAAAUCCGUUGGUUACACCUACGCUGGUUCAAAUCCAGCUCGGCCCA
rnacentral:tRNA from 2 species